CCGUGCUAGGUGGGGAGGUAGCGGUGCUCUGUACUCGCAAUCCGCUGUAGCGAGACUGAACCCCCAUCUGAGGCCCACAAUUUUAAGGUCUGCCAUAGGGAAUUGGUGUUGACGUUUGGGUCCUGCGCAACGGGAACCUGUGAAUCCUGUCAGAUCCGGAAGGAAGCAGCAGUAAGCAGUGACCUCUCGUGUGCCGUGGGGAAGCCUGGGCUGAGUCAUGAACCUAUGUAACGCUUGGUGUUGUGUGGUCGACGAUGGGUGCACGG
rnacentral:SRP_RNA from 1 species